UGUGAGAGCAGUGGGACGCAUAGGGCGGGUGCCUCGGUCACGCUGCACGUCCCCAAAUCCAGAGAGCACCCUCAGUCCCAACCAGCUGCACGGUGCAAGACCCUGCCACCUCCUGGGUCCCAGCUGCCCUGCAUCCCCAGCACCUGCAGCUGGUCCCCGCAGCUGGUCCCUAUUGCUGGGGUUGCACUUUUACAAACUCCGUCCCCAGCUGGGGCAGGGUGCUGCCUGAUACUGCUGGUGCCCUCACUGGAGUCGGGCUGUAGGACAACUCUUCCUCCUGUGCCGUUCCCAGGUCUGCUAUGGAACGUUGCAAAUCUUAUUUUCUGCUGAGACUCCAUUUCCCAAAUUGCACAGGGCAGAGGGCUGGUGAAGCCCCGCACUGGUGAUGCUGGGCUCACCUCCGCCUGACGUGCCCUCCGCAAGCCACGAGCCCCGGUGGCAUUGAGCUUACCAGUGUCAAUGUAGCCCAGGAUGCAGAGCGUGAUGGAAACAUUGACGUUUUCUAUGAUGAACUCAUGUCGCAAGGAGCUGAAAAAUCCGUCCAAGGCGAACUUUGUUGCAGAAUAGGGAGCAGCAAACGGGCCAGGGGCUUUACCUGGGGCAAAGGCACAAGAUCAGUGUUCACGUGUGCUGGGCAAGUACAAAGUGUCACGGCUCUCCCCUCCUCUUGCCCUUCAAGUAGCUGAUUGUGUGAUACCGGAUCUCUGAGGGCAGGGGCUGUAAAAGCCCAGAGCACUUGUAUCGUGCAUCCAGGAUGUCAGCCAGCUGCUGACGCUGGGUUCCUGCUGGGGUGGCUCAGCCUCACGGCCCUUGUCCCUGCAGCAGGCAGAGGGAGGGACGUGGCACGGAGAGCCUGGCCCCUCGUGUGCCCACCUGCCACAGACGAAACGACGACGAUGUUGCCCUCGCUCUCCUUCAGCAUGGGUAGGGCAGUCACGGUCAUCGCCACGUAGCUGAGGAAGUUGGUCUCCAGGAGCUUUCGUAUGUGGUCCACAUCCCCAUCAAAGUAGUUGAAGUAAGAGUGGCCGAUGUGAUUCAGGAUGAGCAUAUCGAGGCCUCCUGGAAGCAGAGCACCUUUGCUAGUGGCAGCCAGCAUCUCAGAACAAAGCUGCUUUCUGGUGGCCGGGACGGCCCCGAAAUGUGGUGUGGGAGAGGAGGGGCAGCACCCACCACUCACCCCAGGUGUUCUCGGCCUCCUUCACUACCUCCUCGGCGAACGCCGUGUCCUCCAUGGAGCCGCUCACGAAGCGGGCGGAUGCUGCACCCAGCUCCCGGCACCGCUCCACGACCUGCGGCAAGAGCGAGAGCGGUGGUGGUGAGGGGAUUGGGGCGGGCAGGCAGCGCCUCUGCCUGUCCCACAGCAUCCCCCUGCCUUCGGGGGGGAGACAUUGCUCAAGGAAAGUUUCUGCAGUGACUUAAUGUCCCCCCGAGCUAAUAUUUAACGUUUGUAAGCAGGAAUAUGACCGCUGAAGUUUGAUUCUGUGGCACAGUGGAAGCACCUGCUGCGUGCUGCCUGCGCUCACCUUCUGCAGCUUGGCCUCCGUCCGCGCGGUGACCAGGACGUGGGCCCCCAUGCGUGCCAGGUGGUACGCCAUCUGCUCCCCAAUGCCGCUGCUGGCUCCCGUCACGAUCACCCGCUUCCCCCGGAGCAUCUCUGGAGAGGACGCAGAGCUCAGAGCCGUGCACGGCCCGCGCUGCCCAGGCCCCUGCAGGCGGCUCCUCCGUGCAGCCGCUGGUGCGGACCCUGCCUGGGCUGCAGCUGGGUUUGAACAGGCUCGAGCUGUGUCCAGCCCGGUCAGGAACUACUUUUGGAAAUGCCAAGAGCUGACAAUCAUUCAUGGCAAGGAUUAAAUGUUUAAAAUUGGUAACUGCAUGUUUCCUAAACUAAUUAAUGUGCUGAGAUCUAAGAAGGCAAGCCUGGCAGACCCAUGCACAGUCCCGUGAGCUUCUCCCGCAUGGCACAGGGGGCUCUGACCACCUGCAGCACCCAUGUGCUGCCCCCACAGCCCGCACCCCCACACCUGGGCUCUUCCAGCUGCGCUUUGGAAAGCCCUUGAACAGCUCAGGCCGGGCUGCUCAGCUCCUCGCUGCCACGCAGGCAGCAGCCUCGCCAGCUGGGGUUGCAGCGUGCCCGUUCAAUCACUUACCCUCGUUGAAAUUCUCGGGUGCUGAAUAAAAAUACACGGCCAGCCCCAGCCCCAUCAAGGGGAGGAUGACCUUCAGGAGCAGACCCAUCUCUCUGGCAGCACCGGGUGGGAGCAGGACGGAGUGCACGGCUCCCAGCACAGGCCGGCGGCCGUGUCAGCGCGGUGCAAAUCGGGCUGCUUACACAAAGCUGCUGGUGCCUAUUGGACUUUCCUUUUGUGCUUCCUGUAAUUCAGCAAACAUUAACCCAAUAGAGAGCAUUGCUUUGGACUUUAGGCUGUCCCUUUGCACCCUUCUCCUGCUGGGAAUUUCAGGAGUGUUUUCUGGGGGUGCUAAAGACCAGCCCUGGAGAGCUUCCAGCUCAGUGGAGCAGUGGGUGCCUUGUUUGGUGACUGCCUUCGGGGCUGGGACACUUGUGUCCCCCCAGCCCAGACCUCCCGGGACAGUCAGCUUUCUCUCUCUGUUGCUUCGUGUCUGAAACUGCGUCUGAGCUUCCCUUCCUUCCUCUCUGGGUGCCAUAAGGAUUUAUCGAUUGGUGGCUGAUCAUUGUGGUGCGGGUUCACACAAAUACCUAGAGAGAGCAGGGCUGGCAAAGCUGGUGUUGGUGUUCCUAGAUCCUUAUCAGUGCUCCAGGUUUAUACUGUGUAAUAUUCUUAUCAGUGUAAUGCUGAUAAUUUGCUGGGUGGUGGCUCUUAGACCUAAAAAACUGCACUCAGUCUUGAGGAAUCCAGUGAGGCAGAUUGUGAAAGGCAGUAAAAGAGCCAAGCGGGUGAAUAAUAAAGAUCUUCAGCUUUCACAAGCGUUGUGUGUCACACUGCUCAGCAUCUGCCUGGGCAUAUGGCGAACUGAUUUGCAAACAAUUUUCUCAGAGAAAGUAGCAAAGGGCAAAACCUGC